rnacentral:lncRNA from 1 species
AAUAAUUCACUUUGUAACACUAUGACGGAUCAUACAAAAUAUAUUUAAGAACAUCCAGUAACAUAAUCAACUUAAAGCAUCACUAUAUAGCGCAAAACCUGCAACUUUAUUCGAACUUCAUUUUUAUUGUACACAUCCCAAAAAUAGAGGCAAUUAACGAUCUUCAAGCUAUGCGCUAAAAACCAAUGUGUCACAGGCAAUGCCAGUUUAACUGAACCUGCCGCAACGGCACAACAUAAUAGCCUAGCCUCACAGUGCCUCCCUUCAACUCCCUGGUACUUCAAGCUUUGUGUAAGUUGACUACUCUCUCUAUGUUUCUCCUUCAAGUGCUUAUGUCCUUCCCACAGCACCUUCAAAGUGAGAAUAAAUAUUAUACUGCUUAGAGUUACAGACAAAAUAGGACAAUACAUGCAUAAUUUCUGAGAAAUAUUUUUCUCUGUCAAUAUUGUAGGUUUUCACUCUUAUACAGCAACAUAGGCAAAAUCUGUUACAAAGUAAAGAGUUUAUGGCAGAAAGGACUGGUCCAGUUGAAGAAGCUAGAACCUGUACAGCAAUAAAGCAUGUAAGAAGUCUAAUGCGUAUGGCAUCUUAAGAUAAUCUCAGAAGUUUCACUGCUCAUAUGCUGUGAUAAAAAAAUUAGAUUCACUUGCAAGCUAAGUUAGGAGGAUCAACUCAGGUACUGAUCAUUAACCUAUUCAUAUAUAAAAUUUUAUAUUCUGAAUUCCAAAAAUUGGUCUUAGAAAAUGGUAAUCACACAUUUAUCGAAUCAAAUCUCAAUAUACACAGUGGCAAAUUCAAUCAUUUAGGCUAGAAUCCACGCAAUCAGUUAAGGAAGAAAAGUACCUUUUGUUUAACUUCUUGGAACCAGAGGGACAGAGUGCAUUUCUACUCAUUUUUCCACUCUUGAUUAUGCAACAUCCAUGGGGGUUGAUCCCAUCAACUUCUGAACCUGCAGCCAAUGAUCCCUUCCCAAGUCAAUAAUUCAUCGGAAAUCCAGAAUGCAAUAACAUCAAACUACAAUGCACAAGCCAUAUAACACGAUCAUUUUAUUUUCUUUAUCCUCCUAACCAUGCAUUAUAGUAAGGAAAAAGUAGAAUAUGCAGAUAAAAACACAUCAGCUAACCAGCAAAAUAUUCACACAACACAAUAAGCACAUAGUUCAUCACUUCUAGAAAAUCACUAUUAACAGCAUGUGAAAUAUGAGAGAUGUGGGCAAUAUAAUAAAUGCCUCAGCCAAGCUCUUUGGCAUUUCUUUGCCUUCGUCCUUCUAACUUUUCAAUUUUUCUCUGAGCUUCUUUUGCCCAGGUAAACUUUGUUAAAGUAUUUUCAACGACUACAAUUGUGCAAUUACAUUGUUUUGAUGCCUCUUGCUUUUCACUAGUUUGAAUAUUCUACAAUGAAAAAUCAAAAGAAAAGAAGUGACCUACCAAAAUAUAUAAUCGAGAAUAAAAAAAUUACAACAUUUUCUCAAUAGCAUUCAUAUUAUGAAUUUCAAUCCACUCCCAUCACUUAGUGCACGUGGAUUUAACAACAAAAAAGAAUAAAUGUAAACAGGAAGCCAAGAAAUUACAGUCAAAGAUAGUCUGCUCAAGUUGUCACAUUAAAAACCAGCUAUAACACAGGAGUAAUAACUAAUAAGUUAAAGCUACUUCAUCAACCUUUUGAAAGUAACCUUUUCCUGUGCUUGUAGCAGCAAAAGAAGAGUUGGGGUUGAAAGAGAGAAGAAC